rnacentral:rRNA from 1 species
ACGUAGGUGGCAAACGUUGUCCGGAUUUAUUGGGCGUAAAGGGAGCGCAGGCGGUUUAUUAAGUCUGAUGUGAAAGCCUUCGGCUUAACCGGAGAAGUGCAUCGGAAACUGAUAAACUUGAGUGCAGAAAAGGAUAGUGGAACUUCAUGUGUAGCGGUGAAAUGCGUAGAUAUAUGAAGGAACACCAGUGGCGAAGGCGGCUAUCUGGUCUGUAACUGACGCUGAGGCUCGAAAGCAUGGGUAGCAAACAG